GACGAACGCUGGCGGCGUGCUUAACACAUGCAAGUCGAACGGUGAAGGGAUCAGCUUGCUGGUUCUGGAUGAGUGGCGAACGGGUGAGUAACACGUGAGUAACCUGCCCCCUUCUUCUGGAUAACCGCAUGAAAGUGUGGCUAAUACGGGAUAUUCUGGGUCUGUCGCAUGAUGGGUCUGGGAAAGAUAUUGUUUCGGUGGGGGAUGGGCUCGCGGCCUAUCAGCUUGUUGGUGGGGUGAUGGCCUACCAAGGCGGUGACGGGUAGCCGGCCUGAGAGGGUGGACGGUCACACUGGGACUGAGACACGGCCCAGACUCCUACGGGAGGCAGCAGUGGGGAAUAUUGCACAAUGGGCGCAAGCCUGAUGCAGCGACGCCGCGUGAGGGAUGGAGGCCUUCGGGGUGUAAACCUCUUUCGCCAGUGAAGCAGGCCUGCUCCGUGUGGGUGGGUUGACGGUAGCUGGAUAAGAAGCGCCGGCUAACUACGUG
rnacentral:rRNA from 1 species